UAGGGAAUCUUCCGCAAUGGACGCAAGUCUGACGGAGCAACGCCGCGUGAGUGAAGAAGGAUUUCGGUUCGUAAAACUCUGUUGUUAGAGAAGAACAGCGCAUAGAGUAACUGUUAUGCGUGUGACGGUAUCUAACCAGAAAGCCACGGCUAACUACGUGCCAGCAGCCGCGGUAAUACGUAGGUGGCAAGCGUUGUCCGGAUUUAUUGGGCGUAAAGCGAGCGCAGGCGGUCAAUUAAGUCUGAUGUGAAAGCCCCCGGCUCAACCGGGGAGGGUCAGUGGAAACUGGUUGACUGGAGUGCAGAAGAGGAGAGUGGAAUUCCAUGUGUAGCGGUGAAAUGCGUAGAUAUAUGGAGGAACACCAGUGGCGAAGGCGACUCUCUGGUCUGUAACUGACGCUGAGGUUCGAAAGCGUGGGUAGCAAACAGG
rnacentral:rRNA from 1 species